UUCACACUGAGACUGGCUCUAACACUUUGUCUCACUGAAUGCACAGCUGCCAAAAAGAUUCAUCUUUGUCUCCAGAUGCUAGACAAACACGCCAUUUGGAUUUGUUAAAACUCCUAGUUGAUUGCCUUUACCAAAGUAUAAAGGGAAGUUUCAUCAUGGAGAACAGCUUGAGCCAAGAAGCAGAGGAAAAUCCCUAUCUGUGUUUUCAGAGAACACCGUCUCUCAGACGUAAAUGGAGAAAGCGCUACGGAGGCCUGGACGGCAACAAACUGCUGGAGCCAAAUAAGGAGGAUGACAAAAGAGAGAAUGGAGAGAUGACAGAUGCCCUCACCAACAGGAACGCAGACCCUAUGAAGUUUACUGCGUCUAAGGCCCUGUGGAGCUCAGGAAUCAUCCGAACAGACCCGCGGAUUAAAGACUGCUGCGGAAAUUACAGGAAGCAGAUGGAACUGUUGACAGGAGCACUUUUCACAGGUGCGUGA
rnacentral:lncRNA from 1 species